rnacentral:lncRNA from 1 species
AUUCAUAGUGAAGAAUCUAUUCUUAUCCUCCCUUUUCAGAUUUACGUUUUGGAGAUUGAAUGAAAAUUAUCCUGACUUGAGUUCCUACCACAUAUCUACCCCUACAAAUUAAACAACAUUAUCUGAAGGCUUCUUCUCAGAAUAAUCACUGUGUUGACACCAACCAGGAGCUGCUGGCCAUUGGCACUUCCUUCUCAGCCAUCACCCGUUCCUGGGAAGUGAGAUGCUCCCCUCUGUUAUGCGUGAGGAAGAUGUGUCCUUUUCGUCUUUGUCCUGACUAGAAGUCUGCCUUUCCUGACCCCACAUCCCGUCCUCAGCUGUGAACUGUCCAUGUGAACUGUCUGAGGGCUGACCUUCCCUCAGAAGAUCAGCCACAGCAGCAUGGACUGAUGUCAUCCUGCUGUCCUCCAGGGUGUCCUCUGGUUUCUUUGCACUCAUAGACAGGACUGCAGUUUAAUACUCAAAAGUUCACCGGGCGCAGUGUGUUCACACCUGUAAUCCCAGCACUUUGGGAGGCCGAGGCGGGAGGAUCACUUGAGGUCAGGAGUUCAAGACUAAACUGACCAACAUGGUGAAACCCUGUCUCUACUAAAAAUACAAAAAACUUAGCCGGACAUGGUGGCACGAGCCUGUAAUCCAAAAAGCACUNAGUACGNUNAGNUGAGACUUCNCUNUACACGAGCUANCGUAG